GAAAGCCUUGUUUCGUCCAACAACUCAAGCAGGAAGAUAUUUCGGAAGGUGGACCUGGCUUGACGGAUACCGCUGAUGUGAAUGUCAAUUAUUUAGGCUACAACCCCGACAACGAGUUCAGACAGCAACUGGAUGAAGAUGGAGUUGUGAAUUGAGACUGGUCAUCAGCAACUAAAACAGAUAAUUGAUUGAUACCGAAAAGGUGAAAAAACUCAUGCUAAACCAUCUGCAAGCACACCACAAUAACUCGAUGACAAACUUUGGGCAGCAGUACGAACUAUUUUCGCAUCUGUGUUAUCCGCUGGGGAAAAGACAGGUUUCACACAGAAGCUGAAAAAGUUAUUCUUGAAAUUGUUACCUAAAAGAAAAAAACAAAAGGCAGAGACAGCAGCAGAUAAACUAGCAGCAGCAGCAGCAGCAAUAUACGGUAGGAAUAGCUGACAAUGUGGAAAAUCCUUGCAAUGUUACUAUUACUGUUGUUGGUCACAAGGGAGUUGGAAAGCUUUGUUUCGUCCAACAACUCAAGCAGGAAGAUAUUUCGGAAGGUGGACCUGGCUUGACGGAUACCGCUGAUGUGUAUGUCAAUUAUUUAGGCUACAACCCCGACAACGAGUUCAGACAGCAACUGGAUGAAGAUGGAGUUGUGAAUUGAGACUGGUCAUCAGCAACUAAAACAGAUAAUUGAUUGAUACCGAAAAGAUGAAAAAACUCAUGCUAAACCAUCUGCAAGCACACCACAACAACUCGAUGACAAACCUUGGGCAGCAGUACGAACUAUUUUAGCAUCUGUGUCAUCCGCUGGUGAAAAGACAGGUUUCACACAGAAGCUGAAAAAGUUAUUCUCGAAAUCGUUACCUAAAAGAAAAAACAAAAGGUGAUCUACACACCAGUAUCCGCUGGAAGUUUAAGGCAUCACAAUCAGAGAGAUUGGUAAGAUGGAAUGGCGUUUGCCGUAAAUGGCACAGAAAGGACUUAAAGAUCAUCUCACCAUUCCUGUUGUUCAACAUAGCAGAGGACACUGAUUAAGAGAUAUUAAGUGGACGUGAAGAAUGAAGAGAUUCUGUGAAUGGACAGUUAUAGAAGUUUACCCUUAUAUACAUUAAAUGGACAGUUAUAGAAGUUUACCCUUAUACACAUUAAAUGCAUAGAACUAGGAAGUUUUUGUAUGAUUUUUUUUAUGAACACCAAUUUCGUCUCGCAUACGAUGGAAAAUUGAAAUUUGAUUUAAAUUUGAAAGAUUGAAAAUAAGUAAACAUCAAUAAAGUUAGGUCAUCACGAAUGUUAAAUGAUUCUCAAUCUUAUAGCUGUUGGUGGUCAAAGUGGGGGCUGUCGGGGUAUGAACUACUGUGAAAUUGUCGUUAAAAUACAUAUAUUAGUGUGGCAUACAUGUUUUAUGUGUAUUAUGUGUGAUGAUUGAUAACCAUUAAUUUCCUUUGUAUUAAUAUCUAAACACAGAACAAUUCAAUUAAUUGUAAUAUACCAAUAAUAUAAAUACCAUACAACUCUAUCUUGAAAUUCUUCCGAACACGAACAUAGUCUUUGAAAUCAGGCUUAUUCAAGCAAGAUAGACGCUUCAAUUGAUUUAACAUUAAAAUAUUUGUUUAAAGAAGUUUAGCAAAAAAUGAUAAACUUUUUCAAUUUUUUUCUCUGUUUUACAGUCGAUAUAAGGAAUACAGGCCGUUUCCCUUAGCUAAAGAGUGCCUUAUUUCCCCAAAAUGAGGAGUAUAUUCCCAAUGUAAAUAAAUAUAAUGCCGAUAUUUUAACAUUUCAUGUAGUUACACGCUUUUGUAAAAUUUAGGUAAAAGAAACCCACUGGUUUCCUUAUUCACUAUAUGAUUUAUUGGAUCUUUUUAUUGUUGUAUAAUGAGUGAUUUAAUAUAUAUGAAUUCCAAAAAUAGUGCAAACUAAAAAUGUAAUUUGAUACUUCCCAUUUCAGGAUCUGUAACAUAAAUUUAAUGUAUUCUAAACAUAAAAAAGAGUGAAAUUUACACAAUAUUAUUUAAUGAAAAUGUACUUUCUAUUUCAUCUUUCACUGAGCACUUCAAUUGGUAUACUGUCUGUAUCCCAAACAUUUUCACUGAUCAACAAUGAUAUAUCUAUGACUUUACAGGAUUAUUCUUCAUGUAAUAGGCCUACUUAUGUAUUGGCUCCAAUAAAUGUUUCAACAAU